CGCGUGGUUCUAUUUUGUUGGUUUUUAGAACCGCCGUAAUGAUUAAUAGGGACAGUCGGGGGCAUCUGUAUUCAAUUGUCAGAGGUGAAAUUCUUGGAUCUAUUGAAGACAAACUACUGCGAAAGCAUUUGCCAAGGAUGUUUUCAUUGAUAAGGAACGAAAGUUAGGGGAUCGAAGACGAUCAGAUACCGUCGUAGUCUUAACUAUAGACUAUGCCGACUAGGGAUCGGACGAUGUUAUUUUUUGACUCGUUCGGCACCUUUCGAGAAAUCAAAGUGCUUGGGCUCCAGGGGGAGUAUGGUCGCAAGGCUGAAACUUAAAGAAAUUGACGGAAGGGCACCACCAGGGGUGGAACCUGCGGCUUAAUUUGACUCAACACGGGGAAACUCACCAGGUCCAGACACAGUGAGGAUUGACAGAUUGAUAGCUCUUUCUUGAUUCUGUGGGUGGUGGUGCAUGGCCGUUCUUAGUUGGUGGAGUGAUUUGUCUGCUUAAUUGCGAUAACGAACGAGACCUUAACCUGCUAAAUAGCCCGUUCUGCUCCGGCAGUACGCUGGCUUCUUAGAGGGACUAUCGGCUCAAGCCGAUGGAAGUUUGAGGCAAUAACAAGGUCUGUGAUGCCCUUAGAUGUCCUGGGCCGCACGCGCGUUACACUGACAAAGCCAGCGAGUAUUUCCUUAGCCGGAAGCUUGGGUAAUCUUGUUAAACUUUGUCGUGC
rnacentral:rRNA from 1 species